ensembl:snRNA U6 U6 spliceosomal RNA
GUGCUUGCUUUGGCAACGCAUAUACUAUUGGAACAAUACAGAGAAGAUUAGUAUGGCCCUUGAACAAGGAUGACAUGCACAUUCGAGAAGGGUUCCAUAUUUUA